AUAUUUAUCUGGCAGGGGAGAUACCAUGAUCAUAAACGUGGUUUUCCCAGGGUGAGGCUUAUCCAUUGCACUCUGGAUAUGCUGAUGGCAAUUUCCCUAAAUGUGAGAAACUCGACAGCAUAAUUUGUGGUAGUGGGGAACUGUUUUCAUGCUCUCCUCU
ensembl:snRNA U1 U1 spliceosomal RNA